rnacentral:rRNA from 1 species
AAAUUGAAGAGUUUGAUCAUGGCUCAGAUUGAACGCUGGCGGCAGGCCUAACACAUGCAAGUCGAACGGUAACAGGAAGAAGCUUGCUUCUUUGCUGACGAGUGGCGGACGGGUGAGUAAUGUCUGGGAAACUGCCUGAUGGAGGGGGAUAACUACU